UUGCAACAACAAAACAAGAAAACCAUGCACUAAACACCGUUAACCUAACACAAGAACAUUCCAGGAAAGAUUAAAAGACGCAGAAGGAACUCGGCAAACUAUGAACCCCGCCUGUUUACCAAAAACAUCGCCUCUUGCCAAUAACCAUGUAUAAGAGGUCCAGCCUGCCCAGUGACUAUAUGUUCAACGGCCGCGGUAUUCUGACCGUGCAAAGGUAGCGUAAUCACUUGUCUUUUAAAUAAAGACUGGUAUGAACGGCACCACGAAGGUUCAACUGUCUCCUGCAUCCGAUCCAUUAAACUGACCUCCCCGUGCAGAGGCGGGGAUACAACCAUAAGACGAGAAGACCCUAUGGAGCUUUAAACUAAAGGCAACUGCCAAACCAUCAAACCCACAAGGAUAAACAAUAAAACAAGCAGAAAUUGACCUAAAGUUUUCGGUUGGGGCGACC
rnacentral:rRNA from 1 species